UAUUAUAAUGUUCUAUCAAUUUUAUAUAUUUAUGUAUUAUAUAUCUUCUUUCUUUUUCCCUCUCUCCUCACGUACAGCAUGGGACCCAGGCUGAGGUCAGCUGGGUUUCCCUAUAAAUUUUCAUAUAUUUUUCCUCCUCCCGUAAUUUCACCGUGAGAACCACACUGAGUUCAGUAUCGUUCACACGGUUCAGUAUGGGAAACGAGUUGUUGCCGUACAUAUGUGCAAAUUAGCCUAGUUAUCUUACGAUAACAUUUAUAUAUGAAUGUUGUCACGUCCCGGACUACUACACACCUCUUUCCACCCUUACCUCCUCUUUCUUCCCCUCCUCGCUCCUGUUCUCGUGCCACGUAGCUCCUCUCAUAUGUCCGAACACCACUACCGAAGCCUUGUUACUCCUCGACACGCCACAUCGCCUCACCCUUGUCCCUCGUUUCCCCGUCCUCUCCCGUUAUUCACGAGUCCCGUUUCACAUCCUUGUCAGUUCAUUCGUUGACUCAGUGGCCCACGUUCUCUCCUGGAUGUAGCUGCUAACUCUCACAAGGACAUCGCAUCACCCACCGCCCUAGGACCAUUACCUACAUCACUCAGGACCUGGAAGGAACCUUGGCAUAUCUCAACGAAUUGGAAAUGGUGCUUGACAGUUGGAAGGGACACCUGGUGCAAUUUUGAGACUGCUGAACAACCUACAAGAGGCCAGAUUGACCAUAAACCUUGAAAAGUCCUUUGGGAUAUCUUCAGUCGUGUACCUGGGAAAUAUGGUGGGCCAAGGCGUCGCCCGUCCUCAGGAGGUCAACGUGGAAGCAAUCCUGGCCUUCCCUGACCCUACCUCCCGGAAUCUCUGAGAUUCCUGAGAUUGGCUGGCUUCUACUGACGCUUCUGGAAGAAUUUUUCCACCCUGGCAGCACAAGUUCGUCCAAGCCGUUCAUCUGGAUUCCUGCCUGCGAAGAUGCCUCAACAUCUCAAGUUCGUCCAAGCCGUUCAUCUGGAUUCCUGCCUGCGAAGAUGCCUCAAUAUCUUAAGAUCUUUCUAGCCCCAAGACCAGCCGUUCGGACGCACCACCACUCAUCCUUUCCAUCUCCAGAUCGACGCCAGUGGAGCGGGAACCGGUGCGGUCCUCCUUCAGGCUGACCCCAACAAGCAACAUCCUCCACCCAGUCGUCUAUCACUCCGCCAAGCUGAAACGUCAAAAACUGAGGAACUCCACCAUUGAAAAGCUCUUGCUCUGGUUUUGGCUCUCCAACGGUUCGAGUGCUAUCUCCACCACAGCAUUCAACCCAUCCUGGUCCUCAUGGAUCACAACCCUCUAGCCUUCCUCCACUCCAAGAGGAACAAGAAUUAGCGGAUUUUCCAUUGGCCCCUCAUGACCCAGCCUUACAACCUCCAAUCCGCCACAUCAAAGGGCAUGACAGUCUCCUCGCUGAUACUCUCGAGAGUUCUUGCCUCACUCCUUCGUAACACAACAAUAUGGAUGUCUUUUGGUGGGAAGGUGUCACGUCCCGGAUUACUACACGCCUCGUUCCGCUCUUCCCUCCUCGUUCUGCCCCUCCUCACUCCUGUUCUCCUCGUUCCGCUCUUCCUUCCUCGUUCUGCCCCUCCUUGCUCCUGUUCUCCUCGUUCCGCUCUUCCCUCCUCGCUCCUCUUCUCGGGUCACGUAGCUCCUCUCAUCUGUCCGAACACCACUACCGAAGCCUCGAUACUCCUCGACACGCCACGUCGCCUCACUCUUGUCCCUCGCUUCCCCGUCCUCUUCCGUUGUUCACGAGGCAGCUCCGUUUCACAUCCUAGUCAGUUCUUUCGUGGACUCAGUGGCCCACGUUAGCUCCCAACUCUCACAAGGACAUCGCAACACCCACCGCCCUGUUUCGUUUUUGGCGGAGUGUAGUGUGCACCAUGCUUUCCCCCCGUGUCUCGCUGUGUUAGGAUUAGGUUUUAGUUUUAAGUUGGGCUAGUGCGUGUCUUCCCAUGUGUUUUUGUGAUUAUUUAUAAAUGCUUUGUGAUUAUUUAUAAAUGUUUGCUUUUUUUGUGCAUUUGUUAUUGUUUCCAUGUGUCUUUUUGUCAUUAUAUUCAAGUUAGGGUUACCACAGUUUUAACUACCCCACACCAAGCUUAUUCGACCUGUUAAUGUUAACCCUUGCAACUUCCCUCCCUUUAUUGUUGCGUGUGUUGGGCUCCUUCAAAGUAGUCUUCUGCUUAAACUCCAGGGACCGACUCUCACAUGCAACAAUAUUUCAUCAUAAAAUGUUAUAUUCAGUGCUAUCAUGUAUUAUUUUUCUAACAUAUGUAACAAGAGUAUUAGGAAGAGUCCUUGCAUUGGAUAGCUGGCCACCAUGGUUGUAUGCUGAAGCUCCUGGAUGGAGUGUCGUUGGGUGAGGCGGGCAGAGAGGGCUUGCGAGUGUUCAUGCCGGACGUGGGUUCUUUGUACAUACUUGUCUAAAGAAACUUUAAGAAUGUAAAAGCUACAA